UACAGAGGAGCCAAGCGUUGUCCGGAUUGACUGGGCGUAAAGCGCACGUAGGCGGUGUGUCGCGUCGGCCGUGAAAACCUGCAGCUUAACUGUGGGCUUGCGGUCGAUACGGGCAUCACUGGAGUUCGGCAGGGGAGACUGGAAUUCCUGGUGUAGCGGUGAAAUGCGCAGAUAUCAGGAGUAACACCGGUGGCGAAGGCGGGUCUCUGGGCAAUAACUGACGCUGAGGAGCGAAAGCGUGGGGAGCGAACAGG
rnacentral:rRNA from 1 species